UGACAGAGAGGAGCUUAAG
rnacentral:siRNA from 1 species